CGAUCAUGCCGCUGAAUUUUAAAAAAAUUCAGAUGCAGCGGAAGAGGCAUGCGCGGGAUCAACCGUUCAUCGCAUGAACGUUGUUCAAAAACCGUUCGUAGAUAGAUAAGGAUUAAAAACUUUUAAAAACUUUAGAAAGAUCAGAUCUUCACCUUUGUGCGGGUAGAUGAUCACCGCAAACUGAUGAUCAUGGUUUAGGAUGAAGGUUCGCUUGAAGCCGUUCAAGUGCCCGGCCUCUACGGGUAUCCACACGAAGCAGAAAACCGAUCCAAGCUUUCUAUCUCCUCGGGGUGCUAGCUCCCUUGCAGAGAUAACUUUGAUGGCUGAUAUCCUUCCUUUCAAUCAAUCCUUGAUUGUGCUUGGGAGGAGGAAGAAGAAGGAUGAAGAGAAGAAGAGGAACGAAGCCCUACA
rnacentral:lncRNA from 1 species